AUUGAACGCUGGCGGCAUGCCUUACACAUGCAAGUCGAACGGCAGCACGGGAGCAAUCCUGGUGGCGAGUGGCGAGCGGGUGAGUAAAGUAUCGGAACGUGCCCAGUCGUGGGGGAUAACGUAGCGAAAGUUACGCUAAUACCGCAUACGAUCUAUGGAUGAAAGCGGGGGAUCGCAAAACCUCGCGCGAUUGGAGCGGCCGAUAUCAGAUUAGGUAGGUGGUGGGGAAAAGGCUCACCAAGCCGACGAUCUGUAGCUGGUCUGAGAGGACGACCAGCCACACUGGGACUGAGACACGGCCCAGACUCCUACGGGAGGCAGCAGUGGGGAAUUUUGGACAAUGGGCGAAAGCCUGAUCCAGCCAUGCCGCGUGCAGGAUGAAGGCCUUCGGGUUGUAAACUGCUUUUGUACGGAACGAAAAGGUUUGGGCUAAUAAGCUGAGCUCAUGACGGUACCGUAAGAAUAAGCACCGGCUAACUACGUGCCAGCCGCCGCCGUAA
rnacentral:rRNA from 1 species